AUUGAACGCUGGCGGCAGGCCUAACACAUGCAAGUCGAACGAGCGGCGGACGGGUGAGUAAUGUAUGUGGGCUGCCCGAUAUAGGGGGAUAACUACUGGAAACGGUAUCUAAUACCGCAUACUAUCGGAUAACCCAUAUGGGAUUAACUAGUAGGGGAGGUAAUGGCUCACCUAGGCGACGAUCCCUAGCUGGUCUGAGAGGAGGAUCAGCCACACUGGAACUGAGACACGGCCCAGACUCCUACGGAGGCAGCAGUGGGGAAUAUUGCACAAUGGGCGCAAGCCUGAUGCAGCCAUGCCGCGUGUAUGAAGAAGGCCCUAGGGUUGUAAAGUACUUUCAGUCGGGAGGCGUUACCGACAGAAGAAGCACCGUCUAACUCCGUGCCAGCAGCCGCGGUAAUUC
rnacentral:rRNA from 1 species